AUUGAACGCUGGCGGCAUGCCUUACACAUGCAAGUCGAACGGCAGCACGGGUGCUUGCCCCUGGUGGCGAGUGGCGAACGGGUGAGUAAUACAUCGGAACAUGUCCUGUAGUGGGGGAUAGCCCGGCGAAAGCCGGAUUAAUACCGCAUACGAUCUACGGAUGAAAGCGGGGGACCUUCGGGCCUCGCGCUAUAGGGUUGGCCGAUGGCUGAUUAGCUAGUUGGUGGGGUAAAGGCCUACCAAGGCGACGAUCAGUAGCUGGUCUGAGAGGACGACCAGCCACACUGGGACUGAGACACGGCCCAGACUCCUACGGGAAGCAGCAGUGGGGAAUUUUGGACAAUGGGCGAAAGCCUGAUCCAGCAAUGCCGCGUGUGUGAAGAAGGCCUUCGGGUUGUAAAGCACUUUUGUCCGGAAAGAAAUCCUUGGCCCUAAUACGGUCGGGGGAUGACGGUACCGGAAGAAUAAGCACCGGCUAACUACGUG
rnacentral:rRNA from 1 species